ACAAACAAAAGACACACGCUUUGGAGCACAAUCCCGAGUAUCAAAGAAUUUUCAGUUUCCCUUUAGCCAUGGAAGUCUUUGCAAGCUCCAGUUGACACUGAGCUUUUUGCGUCCCAGUCAGUCCAAAGCAAGAGGAGGACGAGCCUAAGGUGACAGCAAAGUAAAGGUAAAUUGUGCAAAGAAAGGUCAAGAGGGCAAGUGCUGUCAGGAGGAAGCGAUGCCGCUGCACGAGAGUCGACCAACUACCCAACUCAUUUGGAAAGGACUUUCGGAUUGAUGGUGACCUCCUGUGAGGAGAUGACAAUACACUGUCAAGAACCAUGUCGCAUGAUCCAACUUCCUCAGUCAGCAAAAAUCAAAACACCGGGAAUAACCCAACGCGAGAAUGAAGAAGAUAAAUUAAACUGAAGGAGCUGAAAGGAGAUUAUUGUGGUUCUUAUCUGUUUCGACACGCCUCGGCUCCGGGAAAAGAGAUGCCCGAAAGGCCUUCCACGCG
rnacentral:misc_RNA from 1 species